AUUGAACGCUGGCGGCAUGCUUUACACAUGCAAGUCGAACGGCAGCACGGGUGCUUGCACCUGGUGGCGAGUGGCGGACGGGUGAGUAAUACAUCGGAACGUGUCCUGAAGUGGGGGAUAACGCAUCGAAAGAUGUGCUAAUACCGCAUAUACUCUGAGGAGGAAAGUAGGGGAUCGAAAGACCUUAUGCUUUUGGAGCGGCCGAUGUCUGAUUAGCUAGUUGGUAAGGUAAUGGCUUACCAAGGCAACGAUCAGUAGUUGGUCUGAGAGGACGGCCAGCCACACUGGGACUGAGACACGGCCCAGACUCCUACGGGAGGCAGCAGUGGGGAAUUUUGGACAAUGGGCGCAAGCCUGAUCCAGCAAUGCCGCGUGAGUGAAGAAGGCC
rnacentral:rRNA from 1 species